rnacentral:rRNA from 1 species
UCCUACGGGAGGCAGCAGUGGGGAAUCUUCCGCAAUGGACGAAAGUCUGACGGAGCAACGCCGCGUGAGUGAUGACGGCCUUCGGGUUGUAAAGCUCUGUGAUCGGGGACGAAUGGCUGGUAUGCUAAUACCAUAUCAGAGUGACGGUACCCGAAUAGCAAGCCACGGCUAACUACGUGCCAGCAGCCGCGGUA